UACGGGAAGGGGCAGGAUACUUGGUAAACUUUUUUGGCAUUCAGUUCCCUCACAGUCAGCAACUUCGACUCUUGUUGACUAGUCAUCUUCGACAUCUGACGCAUCCAGGACAGUAAACAACACUAUACAGUCAUGGCGGACGAUGAGG